rnacentral:lncRNA from 1 species
CGGGAUUGAAGAGGUGUGCUUUUGGUCCCCACCAAGUUUUCGCACGAUGUAAAGUAAAUAUUGUUUGACGUCCGACUAUUGGUAUUGAUGGCAUAAGUCGUAGCGUUUCCGCAACAACCAUAUCUAGUUUUAGUAUUUAAUACUUGCCUAUGGAUAUCUCCAGAGUGACACGUUUAAUGAGAUCAAAUAGCUUAUGUUCGCCACCAUUUGAAAGUUUACUUAACCGUUUAACGCUAGUAUUCGCACCUCGGUUAAAAAGGGGAAAAAGGCUCAUCAGUAACUUAUGAUUGAAAUAGCCGUUAAUUAAUUUGCGAUUGUGUUUCCAUGUACUAACUGAAAUUUGGGACAUUGAUGGUGUUAAAUAGUAGAUCAAUUUUUGUACCAUAUGUGUGUGGAAAGUUGGUAUUAAAAACAUUGUGAGUAACAUAUGAUAUUAUUCAAUUUGAUGAUGUAUUUUUUAUUGUAGCAGCAUACAAUUCUAAUAACAAUUAGUUAAUAAAAUUAAAUUAUUCCAUUAUAAAAUAUUGACAAUUCACAGUACAGUAUUGUUGCAAUUAA